rnacentral:rRNA from 1 species
UACAUGUGGGGCAAGCGUUGUUCGGAAUUAUUGGGCGUAAAGGGUGCGUAGGCGGCUUCCUAAGUUUGAUGUGAAAUCCUGGGGCUCAACCCUGGAACUGCAUUGAAUACUGGGAGGCUAGAGUACUGGAGAGGAAACUGGAAUUUACGGUGUAGCAGUGAAAUGCGUAGAGAUCGUAAGGAAGACCAGUGGCGAAGGCGAGUUUCUGGACAGUUACUGACGCUGAGGCACGAAGGCCAGGGGAGCAAACGGG